rnacentral:lncRNA from 1 species
CGAAACAAAGCUUCACGGGGUAGGCGGUAGAAAAGUAAAGUCAUUGAGAUAUUUUGAUCUCCACAUGGUGAAGAAAUUUAAACCAGACUUUGUUUUCAUACAGAUUGGAGAGAAUGACAUAUGUGACAAAUUAUCUGCAUCACACACAGCCUCAGAGAUUGUACAACUCGCAAAAGAUGUCAAGCGCUUAGGUAUGGAACGCCAACACUGUCUUGUUAUACCCAUUUUUCAUUAUAUGAUGUGCAUUUACCUUUAUAUGAUGUGCACUUGUCAUCAUAUGAUGUGCAAACACCUUUAUAUGAUGUGCAAAUAUCCUUAUAUGAUGUGCAAACAUCCUUAUGUGAUGUGGAAACAUCAUUAUAUGAUGUGCAAACAUCAUUAUAUGAUGUGCAAACAUCAUUAUAUGAUGUGCAAACAUCAUUAUAUGAUGUGCAAACAUACUUAUAUGAUGUGCAUAUAUAUUUAUAUGAUGUGCAAAUAUACUUAUUUGAUGUGCAAACAUUCUUAUAUGAUGUGCAAAUAUACUUAUAUUAUGUUGAAAGAUCCUUAUUCCGAUCUGCUUCUGCGGAGUAACUACUAAUUAGGAUAAAAUCUGAAGCUACCGUUUGGAAAAUGGUUGAGACUUGAGAUAAACCUUGGCAUGUUAGUACCUCGUUUUAAAAUGCAAAAAAUCACAUCUGAUAUUGUUGGAAAAUUGUAAAAAUAUAUAUGAAUUGCAAAGUUUUGUUUAAAUCGACGGGUCUUUAAUAAUGAACAUACGGAGUCUACAAUACGGUUAAGGUUAUUAAAUUUAAGAAAUAAUUCUUUUAUGUCAUGCUCUAUGAAUCGUUUUAACGAGGAAGGCAUUAUAUUUGUCAAUUUCGGUAUACCUAACGUUAGCAUUUUUUCUAUAAGAAGUUAAUACACGAAUUCUAGUAUGAUCAUUUAUGUAAAUAUUGCCUUGCUGAUCAUUUUAGCUGUUCGAGUUUCUCUUUAUAUUUUCUCAAGAUGGACACAAAAGAAUUUGAAAAAAUCGGACUUUGAUAGAGUAAUGGCUCAUAUAAGGAACCGGACAUUUGUAACCAAAAAAAAAGAGGGGAUAGGAAGAAAUAAAGGGGGCCUUUCAUUUUAUCAUUUUAGGAAUGGAAACGUGGCAUUCAAUUUAUAUAGUUAUAAUUUGCCGCGGUAUAAUGUUAUGACAAAUUCUUCGUCAUCCGUAGGCAUCAAUCUUUACGCCUCGUUCCGCUCACCUGAAAUGUUAAAACCUGAAUAUUUAGUUUCAACAAUUUCUUCUAGCAGAGAUUUUUUCAUCUGAUGCUAUUAUUGAAUGAAGGUGUGGUAAAUAUUAAUGAAACCACAAACGGCAAAUCCAAACUAAGUUCCCUGAAGUCGCAAACAACUUUCAUACUUCAGUACUUUGAUUACAUAUGUUCUUGUCUAUACCUUGCAAGAAAAGGUUUCUCUAUCAUUAGUUAUCAAGAUAACAGCCAAUAAAACAACAAAACUCUGAAAAGCCAAAAUUGCCCAAAAAGAACCUUUACUAUAGAGUAUAUGAGCGGCUUCCCAAGAAACCUUUUAUAUUGCGGGUUACUACAUGUCUAGUGGUAUUGCUUUCGUGGUAGCAUGUUCGCCUUGAGUGAGGGAGGUCGUGGGUUCGAACCACGGCCGGGUCAAAACCAAAGACUUUAAAAUUCAUAUUUACAUGCUGCUUCCCAGUUAAGCACGCGGGAUUAGGGAUUAAGAGCAAAAGCUGGUCGGCUCGGAAUCAGAAAAAUGUGUCCGGGUAAGGUGACAUUUAUGCCUUCCUUCGGAAUGCUACCUUUUGAACUAGCAUGUUAAAAAAUCCGGCUCAGGGUGUCGAUCUAGUACAAAACAGGGUUAAUAUUCAUAUCACAUUAACAUAUUCUUGUACGAAUAUGCAUAUAUCAAUUUGCCGCUUGACGUCAAGAAUCCACCCAUAAUCAUCUAUAGUUGAAACUGUGAAAUAUAUGCACAAAAACAUGAUAAAAAGCUGCACGUAAAUGUAAUGAACCGAGUUCAGGUUCAUUCCAUAUCUCCUUUAAUCCAUUUCGGGUGAAAGUGAUGUGCGCUCGGUGGUCGAUUGGUUACAUUGUCAUUUCGGGGCCUUUUAUAGCUGACUAUGCGGUAUGGGCUUUGAUCAUUGUUGAAGGCCGUACGGUGACCUAUAUUUGUUAAUUUCUGUGUCAUUUUGACCUCUUGUGGAGAGUUGUCUCAUUGGCAGUCAUACCUAAUCUUCUUUUUUAUAAGUAGUCGAACUGCUCUAUCACUAGCAUGUCAACACUUAGGUGUGCGAUUUCAAAUCCCGCACGUGGCAGGUAAGCUCGACUCCAAUCUUAAUCUUUCUCCACCAAUAUAAACCACCCCACGAAUAGCAUUGAAAGUGUUGAAAGUGGCGCUAAAUAACAGUCAAUCAAUCAUCCAUACCGGUAACUUAUGGCUCUAAAAUCUAAUAUAUUUAGCUCACAAACAUGUUGACAUCAGUAUAAAGAGAUAUCAAUAAUAACUAUUUACAGUAUAUACAAAACAAGAGAGAGAGGUUUCAAAAUUACUAAGCCAGCUGGAGGACAAACGCACGUGUUUAUACUUUUUUUUAAACGAACAAAGCUUCUUCAGGACUGGGUUUCGAGUACUCGACAUAAGAUCAAAGAAUUUAACUGUGGUGUAUCAUGUCGUUGUAUAAAAUUGGAGGAUAAAUACUUUUUACGUUUUUAUAGUGAUAUACGUCUCCAAUUUGUCGAUUGUUACAUUGAUGGCAAACAUGGUUUUAUCUUAAUACAUUUUGCCACCUUCCUGUUUCUAUCGGCAAUUUGUUAUUAGUCAUUCGAAAUCGACGGAAAACAACGUCAUGUUUAAGGUUCAAAAUAUAAAAAUAUUCCUUAAAUUCCUGGUUUUUCUUUAAAAAUUGAAAUUAAUAGCUUUUGACGAAUUUUGGAUUAGCGAAUUACAGUUCCGAAACUGAAAAACUGGUCUCACACUCACAAUCUUUGCUUUAUACAGGUAACAGUUUUUAGUUCACAAUAUAAUUUGGUGUUGAGGAUUUCAGAUUUAAAAGUAAUUUUCAGAAUUUUAAAUAUAUCUUUUCUAACAUAUACUAUUACUAAAACCCCAUACUUCGCACCCAAUCACCAGAAUGGGCUUGAUAAUUUUGUCAAAAAGAUCAAGUUGACAUUUUACAGAAAUCUUAUACAUCCUUCCUGUUUUCAAGUUUUCGUACAUGGCUUUAAGGCCUUAUCGGAUAAAUGUUUUUUUUGUCAUAUUAAAAUUUCCCGUUUUAGUAACAACAAUUCCCAAAUAGUUAUAUUGUUUUAUCAUCUCAAUAUUAGUAUCAUUGUAAGAAAAUCGGAGAUUUUUUGGCUUCCGUCCAAAAAAAAACCCCACUAAGACUUUAAUUUUGUCAACUUUACUUUCAAGUUCCAAGCCUUACAAUAAUCAUGGAAAGCAUUGAGUUGAGUCUGCAGGUCCUGUACUGUUUCAGCCAACAUAACCGUGUCAUCUGCAAACAAUAUAACAAAACACUUAAGAUAUAUUUCUAAUUCUCUUUCCAGAUCUUCUGGUAUAGUUCUGUUAAGUCCUGUAAUAUUUUUAGUCACUAAGAAAUUAUUUUAGUCAAUCAAAAGUAAAUAAAAUAGGAAAGGUGAUAAGUUUUCUCCUUGUCGAACACCAUUGUCACAAGCAAACAAAGUAUUCCGAAUUAUAAUUACCACCGUGUAUCAUCGGUACAGCGGAUAUAGCUUUAUAGGUACUUCGAAGCGUGAAAAACUAUAUACCGUACAUUCAUUAAACUAUCUACCGUACAGAAGCAUAGGCGGAUCCAGGGGGGGGGCCUCUUUCGUGGGAAAAAUUUGGUUGAUUAUAUAGGGAAUCAUUGAAGCAUGACUGGAGCGCCCCCCCCCCUUAGGUCAGUCAGCGGGCCCCCCUUAGGAAAAGUUCUGGAUCCGCCACUGAGAAGGAUUUAUGUGGUCAGUUAUACACAACGCUUCUUGUCGGAAUAAAAUAUCGAAAGAUAACAUAUGUAUAAAAUAUUUCAAUGCCAAUUAUUGAAACAGCUAUACUUAUUAUACUUAUUACGCACAAACAGUGGCCUUCUAUCAGAAAAAGAGUUGCAAUGAAUAUAGAAUCAUAUCGGAUGAGACGAGCGCCAACUUUUUGACAAGUAUUUGCACAUGUUUUAGUUAGCGUUCUUGUUUUGGGAAAAUAGUGAGACUUCUCUAAUCACCAACCUACGACCAAAUUAUUUCUUAAAACAACAAUUAUGUUUAGAUUGAAGUACACAUUGAUAUUAUGUAAGCAAAACAAAGAUUUUCGUACCGUGUCAGAAGAAAAAUCGAUCACGACCGCUUGGUUGGUACCUAUAUCCGCUGUACCGAUGAUACACGGAGAUGCCAGAGAGUGGGCAAGUGUUGAAACAAAGAGUGAUGACACAGUAAUAAGGUGGACACAGUAAUGACAAGGUUAGUAAAAUUGAGAAUGGAAAUGGGGAAUGUGUCAAAGAGACAACAACCCGACCAAAUAAAAAAACAACAGCAGAGGGUCACCAACAGGUUUUCAAUGUAGCGAGAAAUUCCCGCACCCGGAGGCGUCCUUCAGCUGGCCCCUAAACAAAUAUAUACUAGUCCAGUGAUAAUGAACGUCAUACUAAUUUCCAAAUUGUACACAAGAAACUAAAAUUAGAAUAAUACAAGACUAACAAAGGCCAGAGGCUCCUGACUUGGGACAGGCGCAAAAAUGCGGCGGGGUUAAACAUGUUUGUGAGAUCUCAACCCUCCCCCUAUACCUCUAACCAAUGUAGAAAAGUAAACGCAUAACAAUACGCACAUUAAAAUUCAGUUCAAGAGAAGUCCGAGUCUGAAGUCAGAAAAUGUAACCAAAGAAAAUAUAAACAAAAUGACAAUAAUACAUAAAUAACAACAGACUACUAGCAGUUAACUGACAUGCCAGCUUCAGACUUCAAUUAAACUGAUUGACUAAUGAUUUUUAUUCUAUUUUUUUAAAGAGACGAAAAAGAGGAACAAAAUACUUAAGACGGGCGUCACCCCAUUCAUCUCGGUUGGAAAAUAAAAAUAUUAAAUACCCUAAAUUGGAAAAAGUGUGGCAAAGUGUGAUUUUCAGUGGGUUUUUCCCCUUUUAACUCAAUAACUGUAUCGUCUACGUAAAAUCCGUUGACAUUACCGAAAAGGAUCAAAAUGAGUACCACAAUAGGAAAAAUCCGAUCUAAUCGGACGAAAAAUUAAAUCUCAAACACUUCAUCAGGAAUCAACCCCUUGUAUCUCAGAAAUCGUUGACGCUACUCCAAAUCUGUUGACAUACUCAUGGUUCAGAAUUUUAUUAGCAAUUAAAAAAAUCUCCAUUAAAAUAAGUUGAAAAUAAAAAAAAAUCUGUAUAUGCAAAUAUGUGCUCAUUGUUGAAGACCGUACGGUGACCUAUAGUUAUUAAUUUCUGUGUCAUUUGGUCUGUUGUGGAGAGUUGUCUCAUUAGCAAAGAUACCACAUCUUCUUUUUUAUAAUUUACCCAACAUAGCCAUUUCACAUUUCGCGGGCACUACGUCGACUAAGCUUGCAGUCUUCGAAAUUGGGUAUUUUCUCACAUAAUUGACGUUUUCUGUGGAAAAAUAUUGGUUCAAAGACAAAUUAAAGAAGUAAAAAAACACUACAUGUAUACGUCAUAUCACAAAUAUUCCGACUUUGUAUGGUUUUAGAGGAGUUGCGGCUCAAUGAAAUCGGUCUCUUCCUUUAGAAGCAUAGAUUAUAUGAUAUACUAGAUUUAAUAUCAUUGUACAUAUUCAAUACUACAUUAUACAUCUUACCAUUUACAGAUUAAUAUUAUUCAAUAACAUUUUAUAAAACAAACCAUCUAGCCAUAUUAUGCAUCAGUAGAUAAUUUUAUAGCUAUUGUUAUGAACUAUUUUUGAAACUGACUGUGAUUUCAAUGGUGUCUUUUGCAAUGAAUAUAAAUAAGAAGAUGUGGUAUGAGAGCCACUGAGACAACUCUCUAUCCAUGUCAUAAUUUGUAAGAGGAAACUAUUAUAGGUCAAAGUACGACCUUCAACACGGAGCCUAUGCUUAAACCGAAUAGCAAGCCAUAAACAGCUCUUAAAUUUGUUUUAUCAUUUUCUCCACAGCCGGGUUAAUAAGUUACAGAAGCAGAUCGGAAUCAGUUAUGACGUAGACAGUAAUCAUUCUAAUCGUAAUCAUGUUCAUUGACCAUCACGACGAUGAAAGCACAUCAUAUAAUGAAGUUUCGACAUCAUAUAAUGAAGUAAACCUAACCACAUCAUAUAAGAUUACAAGCACAUAAUAUAAUGACACAACCACAUCAUAUAAAGAUGUUUGCACGUAAUAUAAGGGAAACUGCACAUCAUAUAAUGAUAUGUACACAUCAUAUAAGGAUCUUUGCACAUCAUAUAAGUAUAUUUGCACAUCAUAUAAUAAUGUUUGCACAUCAUAUAAGAAUGUUUGCACAGCAUAUAAGUAUAUUUGCACAUCAAAUAAGGAUCUUUGCACAUAAUAUAAGUACAUUUGCACAUCAUAUGAUAAUGUUUGCACAUCAUAUAAUAAUGUUUGCACAUCAUAUAAUAAUGUUUGCACAUCAUAUAAGUAUAUUUGCACAUCAUAUAAGUAUAUUUGCACAUCAUAUAAGUAUAUAUGCACAUUAUUUAAGGAUAUUUGCACAUCAUAUAAAGGUGUUUGCACAUCAUAUAAUGACAAGUCCACAUCAUAUAAAGGUAAAUGCACAUCAUAUAAAGGUAAAUGCACAUCAUAUAAAGGUAAUUACACAUCAUAUAAUGAAAAUGGUCAUAGCAAGACAGUGUUGGCGUUCCAUACUUAGGUGUUCCUUCUGUAGUUAUAGGCUCCAAUAUCGUCAGACUAAAAACAAGAAACAUGAAAGAAACAACUUAUGAUAGAAAAAAAAAGAAGAUUAAUAAAGAACUCAGCAACAUAAAGAUGAGUGGUGUCAAGUAUUGGAGACAUCAAAGCACGUGGCAGAAGACUAAAUACUUUGAUAAAGACGGGGUACAUCUAAAUGACGAUGGACAAUUUAAAUUCUUCUGUUCUAUUCGCAUGUGUGCAAAACUGUACUUGUAAAGUGUACAAUUAUGUGCAAU